rnacentral:rRNA from 1 species
AGCGAACGCUGGCGGCAGGCUUAACACAUGCAAGUCGAGCGGGCCCUUCGGGGUUAGCGGCAGAAGGGUGAGUAACGCGUGGGAACGUACCCUUUGGCUCGGAAUAACGCUGGGAAACUAGCGCUAAUACCGGAUACGCCCUUUUUGGGAAAGGCUUGCUGACGAAGGAGCGUCCGGCGUCUGAUUAGCUAGUUGGUGGGGUAAUGGCCUACCAAGGCGAGGAUCAGUAGCUGGUCUGAGAGGCUGAUCAGCCACACUGGGACUGAGACACGGCCCAGACUCUUACGGAAGGCAGCAGAGGGUAAUAUUGGACAACGGGGGCAAGGAUGAUCCUGCCAUGACGGGUGAGUGAUGAAGGCAUUGAGGUUGUAAAGCUCGUUUGUCCGGGACGCUAAUGACGGUACCGGAAGAAUAAGCCCCGGCUAACUUCGUG